AUGAAUCCUGCCUCCACUAGUGACGAAGGAAAUAAGGCGGCCCCUAAUUCAGGUGUGCCUACCAUCGGCAGCAUCACCAAACAGAAGAGGACUCUAGCUAGUUCCGGUGACAAGAAAAAUAAAACGGCCCCUGAAUCUUCACUCGAGCCUGCCACUGUCCAUUCAUCGAUAGAAAUUCCUCAGGACUCACAUGUCAAGACAAAUAUGACUUUGCCCAGAUCAGCUGCCAAACAAUCUGGCAUACUGCCUACUGGAAAGAGAAACCAAUCCAAAGCGAUGGCUGCUCGAUUUCUCAAGAUUUCCCAUGCUCUCAUAACUGAUCACGACAUAAAGAAGGAUGUGGUUACUAGUGACUCUCGUGAUCCUAUAUCUGCUGACAGCGGAAUGUCACCACCCCAAGAGACCAACAUUCUUCAGACAGUUGGAGAAAAAUGCUCCUCCCCUGAGCGUGUAACUAAAGCAGAGAAAGGUAGCUUGGAGAAUCUCAACACUGAAGAGAAACAUCUGGAUGUGACACUUGAACAUGCAGAACAACAACAUGAUAGCCCCCGUGAAGAAACCACGUUUGGAUCGUCCAGGUGGAGAACAUGA
rnacentral:rRNA from 1 species